rnacentral:misc_RNA from 1 species
GAACGCACCUUGCGCUCGUUGGUAUUCCGACGAGCAUGCCUGUUUGAGUGUCAUUAAAUUCUCAACCUCAUCGCUUUUGUGAUGAUGGCUUGGAAGUGGAGGUUUUUUGCAGGCUGAAAAGUCUGCUCCUCUCAAAUGAAUUAGUGGGUGCCCCGCGCAAACCUAUCUAUUGGUGUGAUAAUUAUCUACGCCGUGGAUCCUUAGGAUUGCUGUAAAAAGGUGUUUGCCCUGCUUCUAACCGUCUUCGGACAACUUGAACCAUUUGACCUCAAAUCAGGUAGGACUACCCGCUGAACUUAAG